ensembl:lncRNA
AGAUUAGAGAAAUGAAGCCUGCACAAACCCAGGGAGGUUUUCAGCAGACACGAGGGAUGGCAGCAAUCAUUCACCAGAAAGUCUCACAUAGGAGAUUUUCAUUGAUAGUGCAAACUUAAUUUGUAUAUCUAAAGAUGAAGUACCUUCCUUUUCCGGUAAAAGUCAUUUCCUUUGUCAGGGGACGUUUUAUUGGCCUCAGAACCUCCUAAAAGAUUCCUAUAGCUUAUCUUCCUUCCAUUUCUAAGACUAGAGAGGAAUUUCUAAGAUGAAAUAGGGAAGUUAGGUUUAGCCAUGAGCUGAAGUCACAUAAAUAAUCUGCAAAUGUACUCAUCACAAGGAAAAGACUUUAAUGAUCCUUUCAUAAUCUUUUUCAAAGAAAAAAAAAAAAGGAUAACCCUCAGCUUUAUUCUGACAUUUUCCCUCGAUGAUGCCAAUCAAGGCAUUUAUUGGUUAGUAUAACCAGAAGACUGUACUCAUGAAUAUUUUGACAUUUAAAGAAGGAUAAUAAAGGAACAGACAUAUAAGCUUGCCUGCCAAAGGAUAUAGUGAUAUGCUGCAUAACAGCCACCUUGGCAAUAAUGUGUUCUCCACUAUAAGGGAGAAAAAUGAAGAGGCCCAGAGAAAACAAUGAAAGAAUUUGAAAGCAUUUUCCCAGAGUUGACGCCAAGAGAGCUAUAUUCCAAAACUUGGACCCAUGCUGACUCAUUGCCUAACUGUACCAGUACGUAUGGUUGUGCCACACAGCACGUUGAGGGAGACCAUCUCACGGGAAUCAAUUCCAUCUUUGCAAGGAGAGUGCAAGAUACAGCAAUACAGAGUUACGUCAAUGAGGCAUUUUAAAAAUCAUUUGUUCUUUGACAUUCUCUAAAACAAAACAAGAAAAAACAACAACAGCAAUACCUAAAACGCAUGCCUCAGCAAGCAGACAGUGAUGGCCCUGGCACUGACUCUGUCUGGGUAAUGGGAGACCACAACAGGACACUUGGAGCCAGGCAGCUCCCAGAUGGAGAGAAGGUUCUUUCACAGCAACUCUGGGAAGAAAGAGGACUAGAGAGUCAAAGCUGGUGAUCAGCAGAUUUCUGACGAUGGCUGGGAGUGACAAGAACCGAAAAGCACCGGAUUUUAAUACUCAUCUGGUUUCCAGUCUCAUCUAACACAUUUGGUCUUGCAUAGGACAAUUUGUCUUUCUUCCCAGGCUCCCAGGAGGAGUCUUUUCUGACAUUAGAUCCAUUUUAGCCUUCUUUUGUUCCCACAUACCUAAGGUCUAGCAAAAGCCUUCCUUCCUGAUCAUAUAUCCCAGCCUGCUGUCAAAACAUCCACUGUCUCUGUCUUAAAAUCGCUGAUCAAAGCAAGAUCUUUAUUUCCUCAAAUCUGCUCUAUCUUAAAAACUUCCCUCCUCUUCUGGUUUCGAUUGUCCAGAGUCUAUUCAAAACGCUUGAAAAGACUUCAUCUUCUUAAGCCUCACUGUACCACAAUAUUUCUGUUCUUAGAAUCCUACAGUUGCUCUGGAUUGCUCCCUGAAUCUCAAGAAAAUCUAAGACUAUGGGCCUUAUUGCCUUCCAAGUGCUGGACCCCCCACCCUUUCACAUUUUAUUCCAACCUUGGCUGCUGAAUUUCCCAUUACUUUACCAUUCUGCUGCCAGCAGAAAGUUUUAUAUGUUUCAAAUUUCAUCACUCAUGAGACAUCUUUCUUUUGAACACAAUUGCCCCAUUCCUCUUUAAAAAUCUUCAGCCUGAUGGCUUUCACUUAAGACUUACUUAUAAUUAGUUUUCCCAAACAGUAAAUAUUUUUUCCUUGUUCUUCCUCAAUUCCUGAGAAUUCUACCAUUAUAAACACAGGAGAUGAUGCAGAAGACAAUGAGGAUAAGAACUUUGAUGAAUGAAAUAUUAACCGCUUACAUAUGGAUAGAAUUUUGCAGUUUGCAUAGCAAUUUCACACAAUCUUAUAUUGUUGUUACCAUUAUUAGCAGUAAGCAAGAAACUAUGUCCUAAACUCUUCUUCCUCAAAUCUUUCUGUAUCUCAUGUAGUGCUUUAUAUACAUGCAGUAAAAGAAAGUUAGAUGAAUAGGCUGGGUUUUCAUUGCAUAGUUUUAGAAAAUAAUUCCCUAUGAGUCCUCCUGUUAUCUUGCUUUAUAAGUUGAGAAAAUAGAUAAUUUGACACUUUCUUCUACCAGAGGAGCUUUGGGAAUUAAUGGCAGAAUGAAAAAAGAUCUCAUUUUAUAAAGUGGCCAAGAGAACAAGUGGAAUUCAAGAGCAUCACGGCCCAAAGGGGCACCCAGACACAGCAUCUUUCUCCAGUACCCAUUCUAGCUUUAAGGGUACGAAGCAGGUACAGCAAUAGGAAAGCUAUCCCAGAAUCCUUGAGUUUUUAACUCUAAAAAUCAAGACACAUACUGGCCAGGGUUAAGGUGGCCGGUAGGUUUGGCAGAAAUAUCUUUCAAUGGUAUAUAAUUAACUGUGCACAUAAUUCAGGCCCCUGAGGCAACUGCCAAAUAAAUGUUCAUCAUUUCUCCA